rnacentral:rRNA from 1 species
GAUGAACGCUGGCGGCGUGCCUAAUACAUGCAAGUCGAGCGAACGGACGAGAAGCUUGCUUCUCUGAUGUUAGCGGCGGACGGGUGAGUAACACGUGGAUAACCUACCUAUAAGACUGGGAUAACUUCGGGAAACCGGAGCUAAUACCGGAUGAUAUUUUGAACCGCAUGGUUCAAAAGUGAAAGACGGUCUUGCUGUCACUUAUAGAUGGAUCCGCGCUGCAUUAGCUAGUUGGUAAGGUAACGGCUUACCAAGGCAACGAUGCAUAGCCGACCUGAGAGGGUGAUCGGCCGCACUGGAACUGAGACACGGUCCAGACUCCUACGGGAGGCAGCGGUAGGGAAUCUUCCGCAAUGGGCGAAAGCCUGACGGAGCAACGCCGCGUGAGUGAUGAAGGUCUUCGGAUCGUAAAACUCUGUUAUUAGGGAAGAACAUAUGUGUAAGUAACUGUGCACAUCUUGACGGUACCUAAUCAGAAAGCCACGGCUAACUACGUG